rnacentral:rRNA from 1 species
UACGAAGGGGGCUAGCGUUGCUCGGAAUCACUGGGCGUAAAGGGCGCGUAGGCGGAUCUUUAAGUCGGGGGUGAAAGCCCAGGGCUCAACCCUGGAAUUGCCUUCGAUACUGGAGAUCUUGAGACCGGAAGAGGUAAGUGGAACUGCGAGUGUAGAGGUGAAAUUCGUAGAUAUUCGCAAGAACACCAGUGGCGAAGGCGGCUUACUGGUCCGGUUCUGACGCUGAGGCGCGAAGGCGUGGGGAGCGAACGGG